rnacentral:rRNA from 1 species
UAGGGAAUAUUGGACAAUGGGCGAAAGCCUGAUCCAGCCAUGCCGCGUGAGUGAAGAAGGCCUUAGGGUUGUAAAACUCUUUUAGCGGGGAAGAUAAUGACGGUACCCGCAGAAUAAGCCCCGGCUAACUUCGUGCCAGCAGCCGCGGUAAUACGAAGGGGGCUAGCGUUGUUCGGAAUUACUGGGCGUAAAGCGCACGCAGGCGGACUGAUUAGUCAGGGGUGAAAUCCCGGGGCUCAACCCCGGAACUGCCUUUGAUACUGUCAGUCUCGAGUCCGGGAGAGGUGAGUGGAAUUCCUAGUGUAGAGGUGAAAUUCGUAGAUAUUAGGAAGAACACCAGUGGCGAAGGCGGCUCACUGGCCCGGUACUGACGCUCAGGUGCGAAAGCGUGGGGAGCAAACAGGAUUAGAUACCCCCGUAGUCC